rnacentral:rRNA from 1 species
UGGGGAAUAUUGGACAAUGGGCGGAAGCCUGAUCCAGCAACGCCGCGUGAGGGAUGACGGCCUUCGGGUUGUAAACCUCUUUCAGUACCGACGAAGCGAAAGUGACGGUAGGUACAGAAGAAGGACCGGCCAACUACGUGCCAGCAGCCGCGGUAAUACGUAGGGUCCGAGCGUUGUCCGGAAUUAUUGGGCGUAAAGGGCUCGUAGGCGGUUUGUCGCGUCGGGAGUGAAAACAGCGGGCUUAACUCGUUGCUUGCUUUCGAUACGGGGCAGACUAGAGGUAUGCAGGGGAGAAUGGAAUUCCUGGUGUAGCGGUGAAAUGCGCAGAUAUCAGGAGGAACACCGGUGGCGAAGGCGGUUCUCUGGGCAUUACCUGACGCUGAGGAGCGAAAGUGUGGGGAGCGAACAGGAUUAGAUACCCUGGUAGUCCACACCGUAAAACGUUGGGCGCUAGGUGUGGGGUCCUUUCCACGGAUUCCGUGCCGUAGCUAACGCAUUAAGCGCCCCGCCUGGGGGAGUACGGCCGCAA